GAGUUUGAUCAUGGCUCAGGACGAACGCUGGCGGCGUGCUUAACACAUGCAAGUCGAGCGAUGAAGCUUCCUUCGGGAAGUGGAUUAGCGGCGGACGGGUGAGUAACACGUGGGCAACCUGCCUCAAAGAGGGGAAUAGCCCUCCGAAAGGAGGAUUAAUACCGCAUAAAGUUAGAGUUUCGCAUGAAACUUUAACCAAAGGAGUAAUCCGCUUUGAGAUGGGCCCGCGUCCCAUUAGCUAGUUGGUAGGGUAAUGGCUUACCAAGGCAACGAUGGGUAGCCGACCCGAGAGGGUGAACGGCCACAUUGGAACUGAGAUACGGUCCAGACUCCUACGGGAGGCAGCAGUGGGGAAUAUUGCACAAUGGGGGAAACCCUGAUGCAGCAACGCCGCGUGAGUGAAGAAGGUUUUCGGAUCGUAAAGCUCUGUCAUCCGGGACGAUAAUGACGGUACCGGAAGAGGAAGCCACGGCUAACUACGUGCCAGCAGCCGCGGUAAUAC
rnacentral:rRNA from 1 species